CAAAGAAUGGUUUAGUUCAGAAUCCUAGCUUUGGGAGUUAGGGGCAGGAGUUGGAAUCUCCUUUCUUUGA
rnacentral:tRNA from 1 species